rnacentral:tRNA from 1 species
AAUUCUGUAGUUUAAUCAAAAUGCAGGUUUGCAAAUCCUUAAGAUGUGGGUUGAAAGCCCACCAGAAUUU